GACGAACGCUGGCGGCGUGCUUAACACAUGCAAGUCGAACGGAAAGGCCCUGCUUUUGUGGGGUGCUCGAGUGGCGAACGUGUGUGUAACCCGUGAGUAACCUGCCCUUUACUUUGUGAUAACUUCAGGCAACUGCUGCUAAUACCUGAUAGGAGCUCCUGCUGCAUGGUGGGGUUUGGAACGUUUCGGCGGUUGGGGAUGGACUCGCGGCUUAUCAGCUUGUUGGUGGGGUAGUGGCUUACCCAGGCUUUGACGGGUAGCCGGCCUGAGAGGGUGAUCGGCCACAUGGGGACUGAGAUACGGAGCAGACGCGUACGGGAGGCAGCAGUGGGGAAUAUUGCACAAUGGGCGGAAGCCUGAUGCAGCAACGCCGCGUGCGGGAUGACGGCCUUCGGGUUGUAAACCGCUUUCGCCUGUGACGAAGCGUGAGUGACGGUAAUGGGUAAAGAAGCACCGGCUAACUACGUG
rnacentral:rRNA from 1 species